rnacentral:rRNA from 1 species
GAGGGAGGAUGCAAGCGUUAUCCGGAAUUAUUGGGCGUAAAGCGUACGUAGGCGGCUUAUCAAGUCCGGGGUCAAAGACCACAGCUUAACUGUGGAAAGGCCUUGGAAACUGGUGAGCUGGAGUGAGGUAGGGGUUGCGGGAAUUCCCGGUGUAGCGGUGAAAUGCGUAGAUAUCGGGAAGAACACCUGAGGCGAAAGCGCGCGACUGGGCCUUAACUGACGCUGAGGUACGAAAGCUAGGGGAGCGAAUGGG